rnacentral:rRNA from 1 species
UACGAAGGGGGCUAGCGUUGCUCGGAAUCACUGGGCGUAAAGGGUGCGUAGGCGGGUCUUUAAGUCAGGGGGGAAAUCCUGGAGCUCAACUCCAGAACUGCCUUUGAUACUGAAGAUCUUGAGUUCGGGAGAGGUGAGUGGAACUGCGAGUGUAGAGGUGAAAUUCGUAGAUAUUCGCAAGAACACCAGUGGCGAAGGCGGCUAACUGGUCCGGUUCUGACGCUGAGGCGCGAAAGCGUGGGGAGCAAACAGG